GCCGGUGUAGCUCAGUUGGUAGAGCAGCUCAUUCGUAAUGAGAAGGUCGCGUGUUCGAUUCAUGUCUCCGGCA
rnacentral:tRNA from 1 species